AGUGAACGCUGGCGGUAGGCCUAACACAUGCAAGUCGAACGGCAGCACAGUAAGAGCUUGCUCUUACGGGUGGCGAGUGGCGGACGGGUGAGGAAUACAUCGGAAUCUACUUUUUCGUGGGGGAUAACGUAGGGAAACUUACGCUAAUACCGCAUACGACCUACGGGUGAAAGCAGGGGAUCUUCGGACCUUGCGCGAUUGAAUGAGCCGAUGUCGGAUUAGCUAGUUGGCGGGGUAAAGGCCCACCAAGGCGACGAUCCGUAGCUGGUCUGAGAGGAUGGUCAGCCACACUGGAACUGAGACACGGUCCAGACUCCUACGGGAGGCAGCAGUGGGGAAUAUUGGACAAUGGGCGCAAGCCUGAUCCAGCCAUACCGCGUGGGUGAAGAAGGCCUUCGGGUUGUAAAGCCCUUUUGUUGGGAAAGAAAAGCAGCAGGUUAAUACCACGCUGUUCUGACGGUACCCAAAGAAUAAGCACCGGCUAACUUCGUG
rnacentral:rRNA from 1 species